UAAAACACAGGUUUCUGCAUGUGAAUUUCAAAACAUAACACCAAAAAGUAGGUUGUUUUCUUUGAUUCUUUGUUCUCGUUUUCUUUGCUUUUAGUUUAUGCUAUGUGGGUAACCAUUCUUUUCCUCAAUUUUGAAGAACAAGACGACUAAGCAUUUUGGAUUGUCGUUGAUUAUCGUUUUUGGAGCUUAUUCAAGUGAAGCCUGAACCAUUAGGAGUAGGCUAUCUGUGUUUCUUGCUUAACAGCUUUGUGGGUAGUUGUAAUUCACUUUAACUUCGUGUUGUUUUUGGAUUUUGUAGUGUACCCAAGAGUCAGGGUGAGGAAACAAGAACAAGAUGAUGAAGCUGAAAUUUCUCCACUAGAGGUUAAUGGAGAUUUGCACUUCUUGAAGGUUCUUGAAUCUCUAUCCGUGCAAGGUCGUACAGAGAAGGAGAACCAAAGUGAUUCACCAGCUUUAAUAGCCAGAAUCACAAAGCCUUAUGUCCCAAACCCAAAAACAGAAGCAGUUUGUGCUUCUAGAGGUUGAAUAUUUUGCUCUAUCACUGUCUUAAUCUUGUUUUAUGGUUCUGCUCUCCCUGUCUAGCUUUCUUGUUGUUGGUACUUACGCAAAUUCUCCUUUCAAUUUCUAACAGAGAAGAACAAAGCUCAUUCGAUCUCUCGUCCUCGAGCAGUCUUAUCUAGUCCUGGUAUUCUUGUUCAUAAUUCAUUCUUGAGCUCAUUCAGAUUUGAAUUUUAGAAAGUUACCCAUUGUUACAAUGAACUAUAUUAUCUGCUUAGAUUUUGAAUUAUUUUCUACUUGUCCUCAGCUAAUGAUGGCAUGGUUGGAAAUAGAAACAAGGUAAAUAAUGAAAGGUCAUUGGCUUUGAGGAAGUGUAACUCUGAACCUAGGAAGCCAAUCCAAACCAAGGCCAUUGCUAGUGGCUUUUGUCAGGCUAAAGCAGAAAGCUCUCUGAACAUGAGAAGAGGAAGCUUCAAGGUUGCAUCUAGCAGCACAAGCAGUGUAAAGAAGAGGGGACUCUCUGUUAGCUCAAAACUUCAUCUGCAAAAACCAUCUUAGUGCAAGAAAACAAUCUCCAUUGCAAUCUGCUCAGCAUUUUUAAAGGAGCAGGACUAUUAGUAUUUGUAUCCUCACCGUUUGCAGCACCAGACAUUUCGAACUUCAUAUAUAUACUAAUAAGCUUGUACAAAUUGGCCUUCUGUGAAAAAUUUGUACAAUUAAGGGUAAAUACAAAUUGCCUGAGAAUUUUGUUUGCUGACAUAAAGUUCUAACCUGUGAUGAUAGAUUGUGAAUUUCCGAUGAGUCAUUAGCAAAG
rnacentral:misc_RNA from 1 species